rnacentral:rRNA from 1 species
CCUACGGGGGGCAGCAGUGGGGGAUAUUGGACAAUGGGGGAAACCCUGAUCCAGCGACGCCGCGUGAGUGAAGAAGUAUUUCGGUAUGUAAAGCUCUGUCAGCAGGGAAGAAAGAAAUGACGGUACCUGACCAAGAAGCCCCGGCUAACUACGUGCCAGCAACCGCGGUAAUACGUAGGGGGCAAGCUUUAUCCGGAAUUACUGGGUGUAAAGGGAGAGUAGACGGUGAUGCAAGUCUGGAGUGAAAGGCGGGGGCCCAACCCUCGGACUGCUCUGGAAACUGUGUAAAUUGAGUGCAGGAGAGGUAAGCGGAAUUCCUAGUGUAGCGGUGAAAUGCAUAGAUAUUAGGAGGAACACCAGUGGCGAAGGCGGCUUACUGGACUGUAACUGACACUGAGGCUCGAAAGCGUGGGGAGCAAACAGGAUUAGAUACCCUUGUAGUC